UGCGCAGGCGGUUAUGCAAGACAGGUGUGAAAUCCCCGGGCUCAACCUGGGAACUGCACUUGUGACUGCAUGACUAGAGUGCGUCAGAGGGAGGUGGAAUUCCGCGUGUAGCAGUGAAAUGCGUAGAGAUGCGGAGGAACACCGAUGGCGAAGGCAGCCUCCUGGGAUGACACUGACGCUCAUGCACGAAAGCGUGGGGAGCAAACAG
rnacentral:rRNA from 2 species